GGUAGGCAUUGAGGCAGCCAGCGCAGGGGUUGCUGCUGAGAGGGCGGGCGCAGCUUGAGGAAACCGCAGAUAAGUUUUUUUCUCUUUGAAAGAGAGAGUAAUACAACUGCUUAAGAAAUAUAGUCAAUAGGUUACUAAGAUAUUGCUUAGCGUUAAGUUCUUAACGUAAUUUUAAUAACUUAAGAUUUUAAGAGAAAAUAUGAAGACUUAAAGAGUAGCAUGAGGAAGGAAAAGAUAAAAAGGUUUCUAAAACAUGACGGAGGUUGAGAUGAAGCUUCUUCAUGGAGUAAAAAAAUGUAUUUGAAAGAAAAUCGAGAGAAAGGACUACAGAGCCCUGAAUUAAUACCAGUAGAAGGGCAAUGCUUUUAGAUUAAAAUGAAGGUGACUUAAACAGCUUAAAGUUUACUUUAAAAGUUGUAGGUUUCUCUUUUUCAGGCUUAUACUCAUGAAUCUUGUCUGAAGCUUUUGAGGGCAGACUG
rnacentral:lncRNA from 1 species